rnacentral:rRNA from 1 species
UACGAAGGGGGCUAGCGUUGCUCGGAAUCACUGGGCGUAAAGCGCACGUAGGCGGGUUGUUAAGUCGGGGGUGAAAUCCUGGAGCUCAACUCCAGAACUGCCUUCGAUACUGGCGACCUUUGAGUCCGGGAGAGGUGAGUGGAACUCCGAGUGUAGAGGUGAAAUUCGUAGAUAUUCGGAAGAACACCAGUGGCGAAGGCGGCUCACUG